AUUAAGUUUAAUUUAAUAUAGGAUCUGCUCAAUGAUUUAUUAAAUAGCUGCAGUAUUUUGACUGUGCAAAGGUAGCAUAAUAAUUAGUCUUUUAAUUGAGGACUUGUAUGAAAGAUUUGAUGAAAAAUAAACUUUAUUAUUUAUAUAAUUAAAAUUUUAUUUUUAAGUAAAAAAGCUUAAAUUAUUUAAAGGGACGAUAAGACCCUAUAAAACUUUAUAAAUGUUAAUUUUAAUUUUUUUGGAUUUAUAAGUAUUUUAAUUUUAUCAUUUAUUUUAUUGGGGUGAUAAAAAAAAUUAUUUAACUUUUUUUAAAAUUUUACAUAAUUUAAUGAAUUUUUGAAUUAAAAUUUUUAAUUAUAGGAAAAAGUUACUUUAGGGAUAACAGCGUAAUUAAUUUUUUAAGUCCAAAUUUAAAAAUUAGUUUGCGACCUCGAUGUUGAAUUAAGAUUAAUUUUAGGUGCAAAAUUUUAAGUAUUAGGUCUGUUCGACCUUUAAAUUCUUACGUGA
rnacentral:rRNA from 1 species